rnacentral:rRNA from 1 species
UAAGGGCACCACAAGAACGCGUGGAGCAUGUGGCUUAAUUUGACUCAACGCGGGAAAUCUUACCGGGUCCGGACACACUGAGGAUUGACAGGUGUUUGUGGUUAGUCCCUUGUGGACUUUCCACUAUAAAUAUGCUAGUCCUUUCAUGAUUGUGUGAUAGGUGGUGCAUGGCCGUUCUUAGUUCGUGGAGUGAUCUGUCUGCUUAAUUGCGUUUCACAAAGGAUUUUUCAUUUUCGUCUGUUGCACGGCAUUUCUUCUUUUGGAGUUAUGUCUGUUGCACGGCGGAGAAACAAUCCUGAAGGCAACGAACGUGACCGCAACCUCUUGUUGCCUCCUUUUUUUUAAAACAUGGGAGUAUCUUUUGCCUCUUUAUAUACCUUCGGGUGUUAUAGUUGCAUAGUGCUUCCUGCAUGGAGUUUUUGCAAACUAGAGGGACCGCUGACAACUUUUAAAACAGAGGAAGGUUGCGGCAAUAACAGGUCUGUGAUGCCCUUAGAUGUUCCGGGCUGCACACGUGCUACAAUGAUUAUUGCAGUGAGCAUCUAAUUUACAAGACUUUGUAGUUUCUGUUUAGUGCUCUGCACUUUACAGAACUCAGUCAUCAACCUGCUUCGAAAGUAAGCAGGUAAUCAAUUCGAAGUAAUGAUUUCCUUUUCGCACAUACUUAUAUUACUUGUUUGUAACCGUGCUUUCAGCUUGUCUGUCAGUAUUGUUUGUUACCUUGUGAUAUGUGCUCCAUUAAUUCAUGGUGGGGACAGACCAUUGUUAAUUGUUGGUCUCGGUCUCAACUAGGAAUGCCUUGUACGGGUCUUUGGCUCAACAAACCACCCGGAAUAUGUCCCUGCCCUUUGUACACACCGCCCGUCA